GCGAAGGUGGCGGAAUUGGUAGACGCGCUAGCUUCAGGUGUUAGUGUCCUCGGACGUGGGGGUUCAAGUCCCCCCCCUCGCA
rnacentral:tRNA from 1 species